AAUAAUUACGUCAUUUUAAUGACUGCGUAUCCCCGUAUCCCCGUAUCAUUGAAAAAUAAUAGUUACCCAUUCUCCUUUUAAACUACUCAAAUAAUACGUCAUUUUAAUGACUGCGUAUCCCCGUAUCAUUGAAAAAUAAUAGUCACCCAUUCUCCUCUUAAACUACUCCAAUAAUUACGUCAUUGUAAUGACUGCGUAUCCCCGUAUCAUUGAAAAAUAAUAGUUACCAAUUCUUCUCUUAAACUACUCGAAUAAUUAUGUCAUUUUAAUGACUGCGUAUCCCCGUAUCCCCCAAAAGCAAACACUAUCAAAAUUCAAAAGUGGCUGGG